rnacentral:rRNA from 1 species
AUUGAACGCUGGCGGCAGGCCUAACACAUGCAAGUCGAACGAGUGGCGGACGGGUGAGUAAUGUCUGGGAAACUGCCUUAUGGAGGGGGAUCACUACUGGAAACGGUCGCUAAUACCGCAUACCCUCGUAUGUGCCCAUAUGGGAUUAGCUCGUAGGUGGGGUAACGGCUCACCUAGGCGACGAUCCCUAGCUGGUCUGAGAGGAUGACCGGCCAAACUGGAACGGAGACACGGCCCAGACGCCUACGGGAGGCAGCAGUGGGGAAUAUGGCACAAUGGGCGCAAGCCUGAUGCAGCCAUGCCGCGUGUAUGAAGAAGGCCUUGGGGUUGUAAAGUACUUUCAGCGGGGAGGCGUUACCCGAAGAAGAAGCACCGGCUAACUCCGUGCCAGCAGCCGCGGUAAUUC